CAUAACCACCGGAAAAGGCUCUGAGUCACCUCCCAUUGUCCUAACCGAGACUUAGCUCCAUCAUACAUAUUUUUUAUCGCCCUAAUAUAAGCUACCGGUACACCUUUCACCUCCAGGCAUCCCCAAAGAACGUCACUGAGACCUUGUCAUACGCUUUCUCUAGGUCAAUAAACACCAAGUGCAAGUCCCUCUUCCUAUC
rnacentral:lncRNA from 1 species